AAAUAAAUAAAUAAAUAAAAAUCAUUUUAGGUUAAAAAACACAGAGUCAAAGAAAGAGGGGCGUUGCAUUAGACAAGGAUAGAAGAAUAAGAAGAGGAGGAUUCAUCUAGUGACGACAACAGCUGAUAAUCUGACGACAGUGAAAGCGACGCAGACGCAGAGGGAUUGGAGACCGUACUUGAUUCUUCACAAAAUUGGAACAAUCAAUUGCCCAUGUUGCGGUACUUGGUUAUGAGCUUCAAUUUGACAGAUGGUUUGGGAAUGCAUCAAGCAAUGUGUGAUAUAAUCAAAGCAGGCACCCAGUCGAUGGAAAAAUGUUUUAUCAUGCUUUCAAUCAUGAGGUUUCUUUCUCUCCAGCUUCCAAAUCAUAUACUCUUGAUGCGAUCUUUACACUGAAGAUUAAAAGAUUCUCAAUCUCUUGGAAGAAAUGUGAAUCAGAUUUCUUUUCUUAAAAAAAAAAUAAAAAAUUGAAUGAGGAAAUUUUCUGUCGUUUGCGAAUAAUAGUUAAACGUGUAGCAGAGGACAGAAAAAAUUUUCCAACUAAAUCAGUUGCGUUUUACAGUGCAGAAUAGCACUUGCAACAGAAAAU
rnacentral:misc_RNA from 1 species